rnacentral:rRNA from 1 species
ACAGCAGUCGCCGCGGUAAUACGUAGGGUGCGAGCGUUAAUCGGAAUUACUGGGCGUAAAGCGUGCGCAGGCGGUUAUAUAAGACAGAUGUGAAAUCCCCGGGCUCAACCUGGGACCUGCAUUUGUGACUGUAUAGCUAGAGUACUGUAGAGGGGGAUGGAAUUCCGCGUGUAGCAGUGAAAUGCGUAGAUAUGCGGAAGAACACCGAUGGCGAAGGCAAUCCCCUGGACCUGUACUGACGCUCAUGCACGAAAGCGUGGGGAGCAAACAGGAUUAGAUACCCCCGUAGUCCCUGUCUCUUAUAA